rnacentral:lncRNA from 1 species
AUAUAUUUCUAAAACAUUUAUUAGGAAGGUUUACUUUAUCAUCAGCAAAUAUUUAUUGAAUACCUAAAUGAUUUACAAACGUUUCUAAAUGCAGCUUGAAUAUUAGUAUUUAACUAUCCUUACAUUACUAGGAGUUUUCAUUCAAAUAGUAAAUUUAUUGAAUUAAUUUAUUCAAUAAAUUCUUCCUUUAGAGUUAUUAAGUGCCGCGUAUCAGGUAGUAGGCUGCUGAGGUAACACAGACAAAAUAUCCAAAUGCCAUGAGGGCAAACAAUUGCAAUAGAAGAAUUUCCAUAAUGGAUAUAUAGUAAGAUCCUGAGAAAACACUGUAAUUUAUAUCCAAAAAUUCAUUAUGUCAGAUGCAGUGUGGAAAUACUAGGUUCAUGUAAUGAUCUGGGUGAACCUGUACCAUUUAGUUUAAAAGGGAAAAGAGAAGGAGGUGAAGUCAAUGUUAUGCAUAGGUCAGAGCAUUACUCAUUUUGUAGAUUGAGCGCCUACAAUCCCAGCUACUCUGGAGGCUGAGGUAGGAGAAUUGCUUGAACCCGGGAGGCGGCCAGUGUCCUGGAGAGUUUCCCCAAUGUUUUCUUUUAGUAGUUUCAUAAUUUGAGGUCUUAAAUUUAUAUAUUUAAUCAAUUUUGAUUUGAUUUUUGUAUAUGGCAAGAGAUAGGGAUCU